UGAGGAAUAUUGCGCAAUGGGGGCAACCCUGACGCAGCGACGCCGCGUGAGUGAGGAAGGCCUUCGGGUCGUAAAGCUCUGUCAAAGGGAAAGAAGUGCAUGGUGGCUAAUACCUGCCAUGUUUGACGGUACCCUUAAAGGAAGCACCGGCUACCUCCGUGCCAGCAGCCGCGGUAAUACGGAGGGUGCAAGCGUUGUGCGGAAUCACUGGGCGUAAAGGGCGCGUAGGCGGUUUGAUAAGUCAGAUGUGAAAGUCCUGGGCUUAACUGGGGAAGUGCAUUUGAAACUGUCAGACUUGAGUAUCAGAGGGGAAAGUGGAAUUCCCGGUGUAGAGGUGAAAUUCGUAGAUAUCGGGAGGAAUACCGGUGGCGAAGGCGACUUUCUGGCUGAAUACUGACGCUGAGGCGCGAAAGCGUGGGGAGCAAACA
rnacentral:rRNA from 1 species